rnacentral:rRNA from 1 species
UGGGGAAUUUUGGACAAUGGGCGAAAGCCUGAUCCAGCAAUGCCGCGUGUGUGAAGAAGGCCUUCGGGUUGUAAAGCACUUUUGUCCGGAAAGAGAUCCUUGGCUCUAAUACAGUCGGGGGAUGACGGUACCGGAAGAAUAAGCACCGGCUAACUACGUGCCAGCAGCCGCGGUAAUACGUAGGGUGCAAGCGUUAAUCGGAAUUACUGGGCGUAAAGCGUGCGCAGGCGGUUUGCUAAGACCGAUGUGAAAUCCCCGGGCUCAACCUGGGAACUGCAUUGGUGACUGGCAGGCUAGAGUAUGGCAGAGGGGAGUAGAAUUCCACGUGUAGCAGUGAAAUGCGUAGAGAUGUGGAGGAAUACCGAUGGCGAAGGCAGCCCCCUGGGCCAAUACUGACGCUCAUGCACGAAAGCGUGGGGAGCAAACAGGAUUAGAUACCCUGGUAGUCCACGCCCUAAACGAUGUCAACUAGUUGUUGGGGAUUCAUUUCCUUAGUAACGUAGCUAACGCGUGAAGUUGACCGCCUGGGGAGUACGGUCGCAAGAUUAAAACUCAAAGGAAUUGAC